CCUACGGGUGGCAGCAGUGAGGAAUAUUGGUCAAUGGACGAGAGUCUGAACCAGCCAAGUAGCGUGAAGGAUGACUGCCCUAUGGGUUGUAAACUUCUUUUAUAUGGGAAUAAAACGUUCCACGUGUGGGAUUUUGUAUGUACCAUAUGAAUAAGGAUCGGCUAACUCCGUGCCAGCAGCCGCGGUAAUACGGAGGAUCCGAGCGUUAUCCGGAUUUAUUGGGUUUAAAGGGAGCGUAGGUGGAUUGUUAAGUCAGUUGUGAAAGUUUGCGGCUCAACCGUAAAUUUGCAGUUGAAACUGGCAGUCUUGAGUACAGUAGAGGUGGGCGGAAUUCGUGGUGUAGCGGUGAAAUGCUUAGAUAUCACGAAGAACUCCGAUUGCGAAGGCAGUUCACUGGACUGCAACUGACACUGAGGCUCGAAAGUGUGGGUAUCAAACAGGAUUAGAUACCCCAGUAGUC
rnacentral:rRNA from 1 species